rnacentral:rRNA from 1 species
GUAGGGUGCGAGCGUUAAUCGGAAUUACUGGGCGUAAAGCGUGCGCAGGCGGUUGGUUAAGUCUGAUGUGAAAGCCCCGGGCUCAACUUGGGAAUGGCAUUGGAAACUGGCUGGCUAGAGUGUGGCAGAGGGGGGUGGAAUUCCGCGUGUAGCAGUGAAAUGCGUAGAGAUGCGGAGGAACACCGAUGGCGAAGGCAGCCCCCUGGGCUGACACUGACGCUCAGGCACGAAAGCGUGGGGAGCAAACAGGAUUAGAUACCCUGGUAGUCCACGCCCUAAACGAUGGCAACUGGGUGUUGGGGAAGCGAUUCCUUGGUACCGUAGCUAACGCGUGAAGUUGCCCGCCUGGGGUGUACGGCCGCAAGGUUA